UACGUAGGGUGCAAGCGUUGUCCGGAAUUAUUGGGCGUAAAGGGCUCGUAGGCGGUCUGUCGCGUCGAAAGUGAAAACUCAGGGCUUAACCCUGAGCCUGCUUCCGAUACGGGCAGACUAGAGGUAUGCAGGGGAGAACGGAAUUCCUGGUGUAGCGGUGAAAUGCGCAGAUAUCAGGAGGAACACCGGUGGCGAAGGCGGUUCUCUGGGCAUUGCCUGACGCUGAGGAGCGAAAGUGUGGGGAGCGAACAGG
rnacentral:rRNA from 1 species